rnacentral:lncRNA from 13 species
ACCCUGUGAGGACACAGCAUGAAGGUGCCAUCUAUGAGGAGCAGGCCUUAGCCAGACACCGAAUCUACUGGCACCUUGCUCUUGAACUUCCAGCCUUCAGAAGUUUUCCUUCUCUAGUUUUGGUGUCAAAGUUAUUUCAGACCCAUAAGGUGAAGUGUAAAGAUUCUCUCACUGCUGUUGAUCAGCUGGAAGAAAGCAGACAUUAAAUAUUUCUUAUUUGUUGGAACUUGCAGUCUUGGAGAUGUCUUUCUCAG